rnacentral:rRNA from 1 species
GAUGAACGCUGGCGGCGUGCUUAACACAUGCAAGUCGAACGGAGCACCCCUGAUGGAGUUUUCGGACAACGAAAGGGAAUGCUUAGUGGCGGACGGGUGAGUAACGCGUGAGUAACCUGCCUUGGAGUGGGGAAUAACAGCCGGAAACGGCUGCUAAUACCGCAUGAUGUAUCUGGAUCGCAUGGUUCUGGAUACCAAAGAUUUAUCGCUCUGAGAUGGACUCGCGUCUGAUUAGCUAGUUGGUGAGGUAAUGGCUCACCAAGGCGACGAUCAGUAGCCGGACUGAGAGGUUGGCCGGCCAC